CUGGUGGAAGGAAGAUUACAACUGUGUAGCUCAAGAUCUCUCAAUAAUACAGCAGGUGGAAGGAAGAUUACAACUGUGUAGCUCAGGAUUUCUUCAUUAAUACAGCUGGUGGAAGGAAGAUUACAACUGUGUAGCUCAAGAUCUCUCAAUAAUACAGCAGGUGGAAGGAAGAUUACAACUGUGUAGCUCAGGAUUUCUUCAUUAAUACUGACAAGCUGCUGUUUCAUGUUACUUAUGGACCAGAGGACUGACUGUGUGAAAAUAGGUGCAUAGACUAAGGUACUGAAAAUAAACAAGUGUGAAUAGAAGUUCAUGGGAAAUAGAAUUAAAUUUCCUUUGGUGUUUCUGCACUGAAGCAGCAGCUGCUGGAAUGGGAGGUGAUUUUGCUACAACUUAAGGUUGGUUUACCGGUAGUGUCAAUUAAUAUAAUGCAGGUAGUGGUAGUUAAUCUUUUUAGGUUUCUUCACCCAUUCAGUUCUCAGAUUAUUUUCUCAUACCCCUUGUCAAAAAACAAUGACUUAAGACAUGUUUUAGAAUUAGAUUAUUAGCAAUCCUUUAUUUUUACAGCAAAACCACAAAUACAGCUCCUCCCCGACUUAAAUUACGACGGGGCUAGGGACCCAAAUCCAUGUCGUAAGUCGAAAUUUAAAUUGAGUGUCUCUUUUUCUUCUCAGCUCCACAAAACUCUCACUUUUAAGCUUGCCAGCCAGUUUAAAGUGAAUUACAAACAAAUAUUUUGUCGGUGCACAGUGCAAUCACUGACGUUGGGACUCGAAAAUACGUAAUUUGAAAAAAUUUUGGUACAACUGAGGCGGGUCGUAAGUCGGGGAGGAGCUGUAAAUGAACCUAAGUGGCAAGUUUCGCACUUCCAAAGAGUAUAAUUCCUGAAGUUUCAUUUGGUGCCUGGGAACCUGAAGAAUGCCUGAAAUUUGGGUGUGUGCCUGGAUAAAGUUAUUGAAGAUGAUUGUUAAGCACUGAUGAAACUUUUUUUUCAAAAUUAGGCUACAAAGUACAGAAAAAUACCGAUAGAUUUACAAUUGUUUUCAUUAACUCUUUGCUGCGAGUCCCUCACUUACCAUUUAAUUCUGGCUACGGUCAGACAGUUUUAUGCAGCUUGAGGUACACUCCUGGAGCCAGAGGGUUGAUUAAUAUCACUAGGCUCUUUGGUUUAUGCCAUUACUGUAUUUGCUGCUGGCAGUACUCUAACCCUGAGUUAAAUCAAGAAAAAAAAUCAACAUUUCCAAAAUUAAUAAAAAAAAAUGGCGGGAAAAUUGGCGGACGUUCUGGAAUGUCACCCGGGGCCUAAGGGUUAAGGUUCUUUGUUCAUCUGUACAGGACCAUUAAAAUUUUUUUUUUUAAUUCAUACCAUUAUUAAUGCCUAAACAGCUUAAUACUUGCUUGGAAAAAUUUUGAAAAAUGGCCUAAAAACCUGGAAAAUACCUGAAAUUUUAUUUAUCUUCUGUCCACCCUGUUAUAGAAAAGUUGUCCCUCGGUUAACGAAAUUUCGGUUAAUGAAUUACCUUCCAUGAGAAUCCUCAAUUCGGUUAACGAAAAAAAAUCGUUUAACGAAAUCCUUACGAAA